UACGAGGGGGGCUAGUGUUGUUCGGAAUCACUGGGCGUAAAGGGCGCGUAGGUGGCGACCCAAGUCGAUGGUGAAAGCUCGCCGCUUAACGGCGAGUCGGCCACCGAUACUGGGUUGCUUGAGCACUGUAGAGGCUAAUGGAAUUCCGGGUGUAGCGGUGGAAUGCGUAGAGAUCCGGAAGAACACCGGUGGCGAAGGCGGUUAGCUGGGCAGUUGCUGACACUGAGGCGCGACAGCGUGGGGAGCAAACAGG
rnacentral:rRNA from 1 species